rnacentral:rRNA from 1 species
GAUGAACGCUGGCGGCGUGCUUAACGCAUGCAAGUCGAACGAUGAAGCCCAGCUUGCUGGGUGGAUUAGUGGCGAACGGGUGAGUAACACGUGAGUAACCUGCCCUUGACUCUAGGAUAAGCCCGGGAAACUGGGUCUAAUACUGGAUAGGAACGUCUACCGCAUGGUGGGUGUUGGAAAGAAUUUCGGUCAUGGAUGGACUCGCGGCCUAUCAGCUUGUUGGUGAGGUAAUGGCUCACCAAGGCGACGACGGGUAGCCGGCCUGAGAGGGUGACCGGCCACACUGGGACUGAGACACGGCCCAGACUCCUACGGGAGGCAGCAGUGGGGAAUAUUGCACAAUGGGCGAAAGCCUGAUGCAGCGACGCCGCGUGAGGGAUGACGGCCUUCGGGUUGUAAACCUCUUUCAGUAGGGAAGAAGCGAAAGUGACGGUACCUGCAGAAGAAGCACCGGCUAACUACGUG